AAUAAGCGGAGGAAAAGAAACCAACAGGGAUUCCUUUAGUAACGGCGAGCGAAAAGGGAAGAGCCCAGCUUGUAAAUCUCCGGUUUUCCGGCGAAUUGUAGUCUGGAGUAGCAUCUCUUAAAGCUGUGUCCGCCCAAGCAUCUUGGAAUAGAUCGCCUUAGAGGGUGAGAGCCCCGUAGGCUGGCAUUUGCUUUUUCACGGAGUGCUUACGCAGAGUCGGGUUGUUUGGGAAUGCAGCCCCAAUUGGGUGGUAAACCCCAUCUAAGGCUAAAUACCUGUGGGAGACCGAUAGCAAAAAAGUACCUCGAGGGAACGAUGAAAAGACCGCUGGCAAGCGAGUGAAAGAGUGCAUGAAAUUGUAUAGUGGGAAGGGAUGGCUUGGCGUGCUGCCUACGGGUAUACACUGCUCUUCGAGCUCUUGAAUACACCGUAGGCUGGCUGGUGCCGGCACUUAUGCUUGCAAAUUCCCAACCUAAGGUGUUUGGUUCUACAAGCGCAAGUGCUGAGGAUGAUCGAAGCUCUGUUUUAAACUGCUCCGACAUAGCACCAGCUGAAGCCUGUCCAUCUAC
rnacentral:rRNA from 1 species